AUACUUACCUGGCAGGGGAGAUACCAUGAUCACGAAGGUGGUUUUCCCAGGGCGAGGCUCGUCCAUUGCACUCCGGAUGUGCUGACCCCUGCGAUUUCCCCAAAUGCGGGAAACUCGACUGCAUAAUUUGUGGUAGUGGGGGACUGCGUUCGCGCUUUCCCCUG
ensembl:snRNA U1 U1 spliceosomal RNA